rfam:Picea glauca, whole genome shotgun sequence.
GUACAUGUCUAUAGCAUAACAUUAGUGCAUUGGAUCCCAUUAGAACUCCCCAGUUAAGUGCGCUCGGAUUGGAGUAGUAUUGGGAUGGGUGAUAGCUCGGGAAGUUCUAGUGUUUUACAUG